UUUCCGUAGGUGAACCUUCGGAAGGAUCAUUACCGAGUGCCGGGCGCAAGCCCGUCUUCGCACACCCUCUGUCGACUCUCCGCAGUUGCUUCGGCGGCGGCGCCCUCGCGGGCCCCCGCCGGAGGACCAACCUAAACGCAUGGCAAACCGGUCUGUCCGAGGCUAUACGCGAAAUCAGUCAAAACUUUCAACAACGGAUCUCUUGGUUCGG
rnacentral:misc_RNA from 1 species